AUUGAACGCUGGCGGCAUGCUUUACACAUGCAAGUCGAACGGUAACAGGCCUUCGGGUGCUGACGAGUGGCGAACGGGUGAGUAAUGCAUCGGAACGUGCCCAAUCGUGGGGGAUAACGUAGCGAAAGUUACGCUAAUACCGCAUAAGCCCUGAGGGGGAAAGUGGGGGACCGCAAGGCCUCACGCGAAUGGAGCGGCCGAUGUCAGAUUAGCUAGUUGGUGGGGUAAAGGCUCACCAAGGCGACGAUCUGUAGCGGGUCUGAGAGGAUGAUCCGCCACACUGGGACUGAGACACGGCCUAGACUCCUACGGGAGGCAGCAGUGGGGAAUUUUGGACAAUGGGCGCAAGCCUGAUCCAGCCAUGCCGCGUGCGGGACGAA
rnacentral:rRNA from 1 species